UACGUAGGGUGCGAGCGUUGUCCGGAAUUAUUGGGCGUAAAGGGCUCGUAGGCGGUUUGUCGCGUCGGGAGUGAAAACACUGGGCUUAACUCAGUGCUUGCUUCCGAUACGGGCAGACUAGAGGUAUGCAGGGGGAGAACGGAAUUCCUGGUGUAGCGGUGAAAUGCGCAGAUAUCAGGAGGAACACCGGUGGCGAAGGCGGUUCUCUGGGCAUUACCUGACGCUGAGGAGCGAAAGUGUGGGGAGCGAACAGG
rnacentral:rRNA from 1 species